rnacentral:rRNA from 1 species
UACAGAGGGCGCGAGCGUUAAUCGGAAUUACUGGGCGUAAAGGGUGCGUAGGCGGUAGAUUAAGUUAGAUGUGAAAUCCCCGGGCUUAACCUGGGAAUUGCAUUUAAGACUGGUUAGCUAGAGUAGAGUAGAGGGAAGUGGAAUUUCCGGUGUAGCGGUGAAAUGCGUAGAUAUCGGAAAGAACAUCAGUGGCGAAGGCGGCUUCCUGGACUCAUACUGACGCUGAGGCACGAAAGCAUGGGGAGCAAACAGG